rnacentral:rRNA from 1 species
CACGAACGCUGGCGGCAUGCCUAACACAUGCAAGUCGAACGAAGGCUUCGGCCUUAGUGGCGCACGGGUGCGUAACGCGUGGGAAUCUGCCCUUAGGUUCUGAAUAACAGUUAGAAAUGACUGCUAAUACCGGAUGAUGACGUAAGUCCAAAGAUUUAUCGCCUGAGGAUGAGCCCGCGUAGGAUUAGCUAGUUGGUGUGGUAAAGGCGCACCAAGGCGACGAUCCUUAGCUGGUCUGAGAGGAUGAUCAGCCACACUGGGACUGAGACACGGCCCAGACUCCUACGGGAGGCAGCAGUGGGGAAUAUUGGACAAUGGGCGCAAGCCUGAUCCAGCAAUGCCGCGUGAGUGAUGAAGGCCUUAGGGUUGUAAAGCUCUUUUACCCGUGAUGAUAAUGACAGUAGCGGGAGAAUAAGCCCCGGCUAACUCCGUG